UCGGUCACGUGGCUCCGCUGCCUCCCAAGAAAUCGAGCAAAUCUGUCAUCUCCUCAUCCAUGCGGGCCUCCUCUCCAUCGUCGGGAGCCUCUGCAGGCGCCUCCCCUGCCUGGGCCUCAGGCCAUGCGACCUCUGCCCUGAACUGGUCUAGAGUAGGGCAUGGAAAAGGAGCGAAACCCUGGCUCUGCAGACUGAGGCUGAGUUGGUAGAGACAGUCAUGGGUCUGCACGUGCGCCCUGUGGUUGGCCGCCUGCUGGCGAACCAAAUGUCGUAAAUAUCGCUCCGUGUCAAAUAACCCAGCUGGAUCAGCCUGAUGAGGUGGCGGCGGUGCGUCUGAGGCCUGCGGUGCGCCACCUUGCACCUGUCUAGGCGUGCAAUACUUCUCUAUGAAGGCCCGGGUGAUCGGCGGUCGAAUCACCUUACUAGGUGCGAUGGGAACCCCAAAUGACUGGCAGAGGCCCGUGAUCUACGCUGGAAAUCCCAGGGCCCUAUUAGACUUAUCCGGGUCUAAAGGGUGCCUGGUAGGUGGCAUACCUGCAAAUAAAUAAAUGGCGUCAACGAUCAACUGAGCCACAUGGUCGCUCAUCCGUGUCAGGAUGGCAUACACCACCUGACACUUCGGCAGCGGGAGGUCGGAGUUAUGAUCGCUGGGCAGGAUGUUGCUGAGCAGCAACGUCAUCCAUGUCUGGGUCAAGGUAUUCAUGUUGGUGCGCAUGAUCCGCACCCGUCUCCCGACAACGGUCCGGGAAAAAUCCUGACCUGGUAUGCAUAGUAGCUGGGCAAUGGCCUCCUCGUCAAAUCCAUCAGCCCGGUUCCUUCUCUGACUGUACUCGCGCUCCUGGCCCUCCUCCAACACUAGCGGGUAUCCCAGGAACUGGCUAAGGGCG
rnacentral:lncRNA from 1 species